AGCAGCACCACUCCCACAAAGUCUGUGGGAGAAAGCAGUGCUCUGCAGAACACCGCUGGACAGCCCAUGCUGAGAACAGCCAUCCCUUUGCAAGAGGGGAACGUGGCUGAGGAACAUAUGGAUGCCACUAACAUGCUAACAGGAGAUGUUUCAACGCCUGGUGGAGAUUUGUCACCAUCAGUAACAAGUGUCCCUGCAGCUCUUCUGGUGCUGGGGACAAAAGCACCUUCCUCAGCCACCAGUGCAGCGACUGAUGAUGAAGGGUUGGUGCAGCCUCACCGUGCUGUCACUGCAAAGCGGACAGUGAGGACAGCACAGACCGUGGUGCUGUCUGAUGUCCAACACAGCACAGGGACAUCACCCCACUCCCUCACCUGGAUCCCAGCUGAGCUGCACACAGCCGCUGUGCGCCUGUCCCAGGAGGUGACACCAGGGCUGGAUGAGGCCACCUCUCCUCUUGUCACAGCAGCCAGCAUCACUGCGCGGGACACAGAGCCUGCAUUAACCUCAUCUGACUGUGUCACAUCUCCUACUGUGCCAGCAACCACAGGGUCUCCCCAUCAUGAUGGAAUACAGAAAUCUGCCUCAGCAGCGAUCACCCCUUCUCCUGCCGCUGUCGGUGUCAGUGAGGCCACGGUCCCAGGGCUGCCAGCCCCUGCCACAGCUGGAGAUGGGCUGCACAGAGACACAGCCAUCACCCAUCCCCAUGUCACCUCUCAGCUCUAUGCCACCACUCUACCAGCUCCAGGUAUGCCAGCCACAGCCACGGAUGUCACCACUGCACCACAUGUAUCCACUGCCCUAUUUCCAGCCCUGGGCAGUGCUGAGAUGGUGUCUAUCACUGCUGAAGCCACCACGGGCACUGCUGUCCUGCAGACUGAGGGCACCCCAAUGGAGCUGGAUAUGGGAACAGUCCCCAGCGUGGUCACUGCUGUGUCACUCCCCGAUGGCAGCACUGUUGGGCGAAUUAUGUGGUCAGUGGCCCUGGGAUUUGGCAGCAGCACAAAAGCAUCAGCAGGCUCAAUCACAGCUGAAAACCCCAUAGUGGGUGCCCCUGCAGCCACAGCCAACACUGAGAGCACUUCUGCGGUGUCAGCGUUACCAGCACCACGUCCUUCCGGUGCCAGCACCACUGCUCAGCUGGGCACAGCCACUCCUAACCACAGCCAUAGCACUGCUCCGGUGACAGUGGACAUGGACACCUCCUCAGCCA
rnacentral:lncRNA from 1 species